AUAGCAAGCAGUAAGCAGACUCAGAUUAAAUAUAUUUCAACUAAAAUACAUGGCUGUUGUACUCAGAUCUCAAACAAAUCUAUAAACAAAUCUCAUCUGAAUAAGGCAUUCAGAAGAGGCUAUGAAACCUACUGAAGGUGUUUUCUUUUUCCUGGCUAGAUGAGAAGAUAUACUGUAUGGUUCUUUGCUAAAGGAGUCAAAAGAGUGGAGAAUGAAAAAUCAAGGGAGGGGGUGUUGAGCAGGCUUGUCACAGCAAAGGAGGAGAUGCCACAUGAAGACGACUGCAGUGUUCCUACUGUGAGUCUGUGUGAUAAUUGCAUGUUGUGUCUUUCUCUUCCUAGUGUGAGGUAAUCCAUCAAACUCCAGUGAGAAUAGCCAUUUUUGCAGCUUUGUAUAUACAUUUUUGUGUUUUCUAUUAUAUAUAUAUGCCAUAGUAUGAUGCCCUGCUGCAGAUGAAGUUAUAACGGUUCCUUGUAAAGGAAAAUGCCAUGCGAACUGGGUCCACUAACAAUUGGAUCAAGAAGCUGUGCAAGUAAGUCCAUUCAUGUAGAAACCUCUAAUUUUUACAAGAAAACAAAGCAUGUGUCUGAUGGACCUUCUCUUUAGGUUAAGCUUGCGUGAGUACUUUGGCUGUGGCUGUAUCAUCAAUGGCAGCAUUGUCACCCCCAUUGUCAAAAUAACCAACGCUUUUCCAGUUCCUGUAUCUUUCAGAGCUGACCGAAGCUCACUGGCAGGCACAGCUCAGGCUUUAGUACAGAAUUGGACAAGGUGCAGAAUUUGCCCUUCUGUGAGACAGAGACGUUUGAAGUGAAGUUUGACGCCUGUGGGGCCAAUCUGGGAAAGAUCGAUGCAGUUAUGCCCAUACAGGUUUGGUGAAAAAGACAUUACAUAUCUGAGACAAGCAAAGAAAUACAGGAUGAAGGUGAAGUAUUGCCUUUUUGUGCCUUUUGAGACUGCAAACAUCCAUCAUCAUAAACAUUCACAAAUCUCAUAGACUUAUACUUAAUAAGAAAUAUUUAAGAUUCUGCAAAGUAUCUAGGUUUUUUAACAAGUUUAAGCAAAAUUGUG
ensembl:lncRNA